UCUUGGUCAAUUUAGAGGAAGUAAAAGUCGUAACAAGGUUUCCGUAGGUGAACCUGCGGAAGGAUCAUUAACGAGUAAACAKGAGAGUUGUAGCUGGCCGCAAGGCAUGUGCACGCUCUCUACUCAAUCCAACCUUACACCUGUGCACCUAUUGUAGGUCGAGUGGCUGGACUUGUUCUGGUCGCUCUUCCUAUGUUUUACACAUACACUUGUAGUCUCAGAAUGUAAUCAGCGUAUAACGCAUUAUAAAACAACUUUCAACAACGGAUCUCUUGGCUCUCGCAUCGAUGAAGAACGCAGCGAAAUGCGAUAAGUAAUGUGAAUUGCAGAAUUCAGUGAAUCAUCGAAUCUUUGAACGCACCUUGCGCUCCUUGGUAUUCCGAGGAGCAUGCCUGUUUGAGUGUCAUGAAUAUCUCAACUCACCCGGUUUUUAUUAACUGUGGUGGGCUUGGACUUGGAGGUAUGCUGGCUGACUAGUCGGCUCCUCUCUAAAUGCAUUAGCUGGACCUGUUAUGGAUCAGUACUCGGUGUGAUAAUUGUCUACGCCGUGUCUGUGAAGUGCUUGAAUGGACUAGCUUCUAACCGUCUUCGGACAACUAUUGACAUUUGACCUCAA
rnacentral:rRNA from 1 species